rnacentral:rRNA from 1 species
AUUGAACGCUGGCGGCAUGCCUUACACAUGCCAGUCGAACGGCAGCACGGGUGCUUGCACCUGGUGGCGAGUGGCGAACGGGUGAGUAAUACAUCGGAACAUGUCCUGUAGUGGGGGAUAGCCCGGCGAAAGCCGGAUUAAUACCGCAUACGAUCUACGGAUGAAAGCGGGGGACCUUCGGGCCUCGCGCUAUAGGGUUGGCCGAUGGCUGAUUAGCUAGUUGGUGGGGUAAAGGCCUACCAAGGCGACGAUCAGUAGCUGGUCUGAGAGGACGACCAGCCACACUGGGACUGAGACACGGCCCAGACUCCUACGGGAGGCAGCAGUGGGGAAUUUUGGACAAUGGGCGAAAGCCUGAUCCAGCAAUGCCGCGUGUGUGAAGAAGGCCUUCGGGUUGUAAAGCACUUUUGUCCGGAAAGAAAGCCUUGGCCCUAAUACGGUCGGGGGAUGACGGUACCGGAAGAAUAAGCACCGGCUAACUACGUG